CUGUUCCAUGGGGGAUGUGGAGCUCCCCAAUUCCUACUUGGGAACAAGAUCCCCAUUGAUGGGCUGGGGUGUGCUGCUGGUCUG